rnacentral:lncRNA from 1 species
CUAAAAAUAAGUCUACAUGACUGAAAUGGUCAGUUGACCCCUUUAGGAGUUAUUGCCCUUUAUAGUCAAUUUUUAACCAUUUUUCAUAAAUCUUAGUUAUCUUUUACAAAAAUCUUCUCCUCUGAAACUACUGGGCCAAAUUGAACUAAACUUGGCCACAACCAUCAUUGGGGUAUCUAGUUUGAAAAUUGUGUCCGGUGACCUGGCCAACCAACCAAAAUGGCCGCCAUGGCUAAAAAUAGAACAUAGGGGUAAAAUGCAGUUUUUGGCUUAUAACUCAAAAACCAAAGCCUUUAGAGCAAAUCUGACAUGGGGGUUAAAUUGUUUAUUAGGUCAAGAUCUAUCUGCCCUGAAAUUUUCAGAUG